rnacentral:sRNA from 1 species
AUUUGACUGACUAAACAUAUGGCUUCAAAAUGUAUCCCACAAAAUAGGUGCAAUGCUGAGAAUGAGGAAGACAAAAAGGUCAUCUCAUUACAGUUGGAUAAAAAUCACCACGCUUUAUAUGUGGCGUUCUCUAGCUGCGUUAUCCGCAUCCCCCUCAGUCGCUGUGAGCGUUAUGGAUCAUGUAAAAAGUCUUGUAUUGCAUCUCGUGACCCGUAUUGUGGCUGGUUAAGCCAGGGAUCCUGUGGUAGAGUGACCCCAGGGAUGCUUGCUGAAGGAUAUGAGCAAGACACAGAAUUCGGCAACACAGCUCAUCUAGGGGACUGCCAUGAAAUUUUGCCUACUUCAACUACACCAGAUUACAAAAUAUUUGGCGGUCCAACAUCUGGUUAGUUUUUUUUAAUUUUUUUGAAUUAACGACCUUUUCUUUCCUUCAGUUCAGCAUUUUCAGCCCCUUCUCCCCUCCUUUUGCGCAGUUUGGCAGCCCUUCAUUUUUCCGCUUUGACUCAUAUUCCCACUGAUGGUACCAAAAGACUUUUCUUACUGAGCACUUCACCCUUGUAUAGCAUGUUAACACUUCAUCAUUGACCAAGCCA